rnacentral:rRNA from 1 species
UACGUAGGGUGCAAGCGUUGUCCGGAAUUAUUGGGCGUAAAGAGCUCGUAGGCGGCUUGUCGCGUCGACUGUGAAAAACCCGUGGCUCAACCAUGUGGUCUGCAGUCGAUACGGGCAGGCUAGAAUUCGGUAGGGGAGACUGGAAUUCCUGGUGUAGCGGUGAAAUGCGCAGAUAUCAGGAGGAACACCGGUGGCGAAGGCGGGUCUCUGGGCAUGUUCUGACGCUGAGGAGCGAAAGUGUGGGGAGCGAACAGG